CCUGGCCUCCGUGAGCAUCGAUCUCAGGUUUGCUCCUUGUUUUUCUUCUUUAUGUUCCUGCGGUCAAUAGGAAUUUUGUCACAGGGAGCUGACAUGAUGAGAAUUCGAUUCAUGGUCUGGAGAGAGGUCCUCACGCCUUUGUGGAAGGCUUGGCCUGCAUGAUUCGUGCCUUAAUCUCCGAAAGCUCUGCGACUCAAAAGCUGGUGUAUGAUGCGUCGUGUCGAAUUACCGAGAGCAUAACGAUGCUUGGAAUCAUUCAGGAGCAGCUUGCAGUACUGCUGACUCAGGGCUGCUUCGACAAGUGUCUACGAUGCAACUCAAAGAAAUUACGCUUUACCUCCUAAUGUUUACUACGACGUGAAGGCCCGCCUGUAUGUCACUUAAGUACCAAAAGAAAUCAUGUCCAAACGAGAUUGGAUGGACGAAGAAAUUGAGAUGGGUCGUUUGGUGCUUACGUGCAAAUCUCAGCAACAUCAAAGAGUGCAUGUAAGAACUUGUACUUUCUGACUAGCUUAAGUGACUGCAGUUGCCUUUGUAUGAGAGGCCCAAUAAGAAUACCCGGCUGGCUGGUAGUGACGACUUUGAACUGGAUCCGACAAGGUGCAGAGGCCAUAAAAGAUUUCUACCAAGAGCACGUUGAGGAACUGGGAUGACCUCUUCGAAACAUUUCGAAAGCGUCAGCAGAAGUAGGAGACGUUCGAUUAACUGCAGAAUCUUU